rnacentral:lncRNA from 1 species
AUAUUAUAUAUAAAAAUAAUGUAUUUUAAAGAAAAAAUUGCUUAUAUACACCUUAAAACCUUUGAAAUAUCUUAUUUAUUCGUACUUUUUUUAUUUCAAAUAUAUCCGUUAUAUAUUUUUCCGUUAUUCAAAAAUAUCUUUAAUGCUUGUUAAGUCAUUCGGAUUAAAUCUAAGUUAAAUUUCUACCAUAGCUAAAAAAUAGUAAAAGUACAUAUUUUAUCCCUAACUCAAAGGCAAAUAAGAAAAGUUGGUCAUGGUAAAAUGAUAUAUUUGAAAAGGCAAAAAGUAAAAAUAUUUUUUUGUCCCUAACUUAAGGACAAAUAAGAAAAGUUGAUAACGAUAGAAUGGUAUAUUUGAAAUGGCAAAAUGAUAAUUUUAUAGAGAUAAAGACUGUUACUAACAAUUCACUAUAAUAGAAUUUAACUCUAGGGAUAAAUAUGAAAGGCUUUGAAAUCUUAAAAAAGUAUUUUUAAUAUUAACCUUUUAUGCGGGAUAAAUAAGAAAAUCGAAAACCUUUCAGGGUAUAUAAGCAAUUGUUCCUAUUUUAAAAUAUCUAUUAUUACGGGUCAAAUAGUUUUUUGAUUAUGUAAAGAAAACUUUUUGUUCAGUAUUUAUAAGUUUAAUAUAUAGAUAUUUUAAAUGUCAUAAAACUCAAUCCAACGAAUUAGGUAGCGGUUUUGAGAAUUUUAGAUUAAACAACUUUACGUGGAAAACAAUUCAAAAGUAGCAAUUCAAAUCAUAUUGAGUAGAAAAAAAAAAAGGUAAAUUUCAAAUACCACUUCUGUAGUUUCGUACUUUCUCACUUUAGUACCAUGUGAUUUAAAAUGUAUCAAUAUAGUACCCAGUGGUUUCAUAUUUUUCUCUUUUCGCCGGCCACUCCGUUAACUUUUUGCUAAAUCAUAUACAAAAACUUCAGAUAUCCCACAUAUAGUUUAUCAAAUAUUCACUUUAGUACCUUUUAAUUUUAAUUUUGUCACUGAUUUAACAAAAAGUUUUAGUGAAAGGAAUAAGAACAAGAGAAAAAUAAAAUUAUAGGGUACGAAAGUGAUACAUUUUAAACGACAAAUUACUAAAAUGAGAAAGUGCGAAAUUACAGCGGUGAUAUUUGAAGUUUUUCCAAAAAGAAAAUACCGUAAGAAAAAAAAAUCUUUUUU